rnacentral:lncRNA from 1 species
CGUUUGUAAUUUGGAUAUUUAUACAAGACGUUAUGGGUGUUUAAACAGAAGGUGUCCGACAAAGGAAAUUUUAAUAGGAUGUACAACUUGUAUAUCACAAGUGCAAGGUACAACUUGACGAAGCACGGGCAGAUUCUUUAAACACGGAUUUGGCUUAUUUCUUUCAUUUCUUUCAUUUGGCUUGGAUGAUUUUGGAGAGAAUUUCAUGGGGGAUUUUAUCAAGCAUCAAAGGUGAGUUGUUUCUACUUAUUUCCAAGUUAAAUCCAAGAUUAUAUGUGAAUUAGAACAUGAAAAUCAGUAGAAAAGUGGAGUUUUAGGGCUUGUGCUUUUGAGAUUUUCUAGGGUCGAUUUGAAGGGUCAAACGAGCUCCGAUUUUUGUGUUCUUUGUAUAUACGGACUCGUGAGAGGACGAAGACAUUUUGGUAUAAAAAUUUCUGAGUUUUGAGACGUGGGCCCGGGGCUCGGGUUUUGUCAAAUUUGUGAAUUUUGAUAAUUUUCGAUUGCUUUCGAUUGGGUAUUGUCCCUUUAGCAUAAUGCGACAUAUUCAUUGUGAUUUUGGCCAGAUUCGACGCACGUGGAGGCCAAUUCGAGGGGCAAAGGCGUCGCGAGCUAAAGAAGUAGCCGGUUUGAGGU